GGCGGCAGGCCUAACACAUGCAAGUCGAACGGUAACAGGAAGCAGCUUGCUGCUUUGCUGACGAGUGGCGGACGGGUGAGUAAUGUCUGGGAAACUGCCUGAUGGAGGGGGAUAACUACUGGAAACGGUGGCUAAUACCGCAUAACGUCGCAAGACCAAAGAGGGGGACCUUCGGGCCUCUUGCCAUCAGAUGUGCCCAGAUGGGAUUAGCUUGUUGGUGAGGUAACGGCUCACCAAGGCGACGAUCCCUAGCUGGUCUGAGAGGAUGACCAGCCACACUGGAACUGAGACACGGUCCAGACUCCUACGGGAGGCAGCAGUGGGGAAUAUUGCACAAUGGGCGCAAGCCUGAUGCAGCCAUGCCGCGUGUAUGAAGAAGGCCUUCGGGUUGUAAAGUACUUUCAGCGGGGAGG
rnacentral:rRNA from 1 species